rnacentral:rRNA from 1 species
AGAGUUUGAUUAUGGCUCAGAUUGAACGCUGGCGGCAGGCCUAACACAUGCAAGUCGAGCGGUAGAGAGAAGCUUGCUUCUCUUGAGAGCGGCGGACGGGUGAGUAAUGCCUAGGAAUCUGCCUGGUAGUGGGGGAUAACGUUCGGAAACGGACGCUAAUACCGCAUACGUCCUACGGGAGAAAGCAGGGGACCUUCGGGCCUUGCGCUAUCAGAUGAGCCUAGGUCGGAUUAGCUAGUUGGUGAGGUAAUGGCUCACCAAGGCGACGAUCCGUAACUGGUCUGAGAGGAUGAUCAGUCACACUGGAACUGAGACACGGUCCAGACUCCUACGGGAGGCAGCAGUGGGGAAUAUUGGACAAUGGGCGAAAGCCUGAUCCAGCCAUGCCGCGUGUGUGAAGAAGGUCUUCGGAUUGUAAAGCACUUUAAGUUGGGAGGAAGGGCCAUUACCUAAUACGUGAUGGUUUUGACGUUACCGACAGAAUAAGCACCGGCUAACUCUGUGCCAGCAGCCGCGGUAAUACAGAGGGUGCAAGCGUUAAUCGGAAUUACUGGGCGUAAAGCGCGCGUAGGUGGUUUGUUAAGUUGGAUGUGAAAUCCCCGGGCUCAACCUGGGAACUGCAUUCAAAACUGACUGACUAGAGUAUGGUAGAGGGUGGGUGGAAUUUCCUGUGUAGCGGUGAAAUGCGUAGAUAUAGGAAGGAACACCAGUGGCGAAAGCGACCACCUGGACUGAUACUGACACUGAGGUGCGAAAGCGUGGGGAGCAAACAGGAUUAGAUACCCUGGUAGUCCACGCCGUAAACGAUGUCAACUAGCCGUUGGGAGCCUUGAGCUCUUAGUGGCGCAGCUAACGCAUUAAGUUGAC